AAUUGUUGGCAUCUGGAUGGUAAAUCUUCAAGUUACUAUGAAAGAAGAUCACAAACCAAAAAGUAACAUAGGAAAUACUAAAAACUGGAACAUUUUAUCAGAUUUUACUCAUAUACAGAAGGCUAUAGGACUGUUUUGCCAGAUUCCAAAUGACAACUUUUAAAUCAGAGCCUUGAAAUCUACAGAAGUCCAGUAUAUACUGAGGUAAUUUGCUUAUUCUAAUGAGCAGUAGCAAGAGACACAUCUGGUAGACAUAAAAGACCUAAUGAAAAUUAAAAGACACAGCAUUUGGAACAACUGGAACAAAGGGAAUGUGGAAAUGAAAGAGAGAGGGAGAGAGAGGCUGGCAGAUGUAAUGAGACGCGGUGAAGGUGUACGCAGACUGGCACUCCCACUCCUCCCUUCUGCUCUCACUGCAGCCCUGGGUAACUCGCAGGCUAACACAAACAGCUUUUCUCCCGCAGCCUGCCCUCUGUCACUGUAAGUACAUCAGCCUUCUCUUAUCAGCAUGCAGAUUCCAGCCACGCACUCCCUAG
rnacentral:lncRNA from 1 species